CAACUGGGGAAUUAGAGAACAAUUGGAAUUUAAGCAACCUGGGACAUCUAUUCACACAAAAGAAAACACUUGCCGGCUGCUGGAAAUGUUAUAUAUACACAUAGGCUGCUUGAAUUAGAAGGGAAGAGGCACAAAAACGAAGAGAAGCUGGCUGCGGCUUUUUAUACAUACGACACCUACAAUUUUGCAGCAGACUGGAGAACAAAAAAACAGCAGUUGGGAGGAAUUGUGAUACAUAGAAGGCGGCUACUGGUGGAAAAGAAAAAACAAGGUGACAGCUUGGGAAAUUAUUUGAAGAGAUACACAUACAAUUGGCGGCGCCGUGGAGAGAUACAAACCGGGCAGAAAUUGGACUCCAUUUCGGAGUCAAACAUUGAGGCUGGUAGGGGCUGAAUUUGGAACCAUAUUGGAACUAAAAAGUGGGCGGCAGCUUGAAGAUACACAUCGACAACGGCGGACUACAACUUUGAUAAUAUAUAUGUUAAUUAAGUUUCGUCAAUUUCUCGGUAAUAUCGUCUAUACUUUCUUUGUUUAAUUUCAACAUUAUGCAAAAUUAAUUUCUCUCAUGUAUUGGAUGACGAUGAAAUCCUUUAUUAUUUAUUUUAAUUCGAG
rnacentral:lncRNA from 1 species